GGGUUUUGCUAAGUGUAAGAGUUAAAGUUGGGGGACACUGAGGCAGUAUAAAUUAGUUUCUCUCUGCAAGGAGUAUUAUAUUUUUAGAGGUUUAUUAAAGGAUUAAAGAAAAUACAGAAUAAGAGAACACGUGUCUAGGCCUCUGGCCUAGACAACCUCACCUACAUUAUGAAAAGAGUCUGCGUGUAAGCUGAAACAGGAAAGAAAAGAGAGGCCCAGAAGCCUUUCCAAUCAGGUUAAAUACCCCAUCUUGAUCUCGGCCCAGGUGAGAAUUCCGUGAUAUUACAAAGCAUUCUGGGGAAGUGGAGCAAGGACUUCUGGGGAUUGAAGUCCUGGACUCAAGUCUCCAUUUUUACAUAAGUUAGUGACAGGAGUAUGAAUCCUGUCAGACUGUCAGACUGCCUUGGGUGGAACCUUGUGCUAAGGUCUUGCUUAGGAAUUCUGAGACACCCAAGGAAUUGGAAGUUCUGUUAAGCCCAACUGUCUCUCUCUGCUGGUGUUCCCUGCCCAGAGAGAAGGCUAAAGCUUUGGCUCCUGGGAAUUCCUUGAACUGGCCUGACAGUUUUGGAAAGAAGAGAAAGUUGGAAGUUUUGGGAAGAGCUGUGAAAGGAACAAAUAGAGCAACCUGGUUCUAUGGCAUCUGCAGAGUGCUACACCAACAGACAAAACAAGACACUGAUACACUGUGGUACAUUGGAACAUAA
rnacentral:lncRNA from 1 species